rnacentral:rRNA from 1 species
GGAUGCGAUCAUACCAGCACUAACGCACCGGAUCCCAUCAAAACUCCGAAGUUAAGCGUGCUUGGGCGAGAGUAGUACUAGGAUGGGUGACCCCCUUGGGAAGUCCUCGUGUUGCAUCCC